UUUGACCUCAGAUCAGACAAGGAUACCCGCUGAACUUAAGCAUAUCAAUAAGCGGAGGAAAAGAAACCAACAGGGAUUGCCUCA
rnacentral:rRNA from 1 species